rnacentral:rRNA from 1 species
AGAACCCGAUCCCAUCCCGAACUCGACCGUUAAAUCCUUCAGCGCCGAUGGUACUAAGUCUCAAGACUUGGGAGAGUAGGUCGCUGCCA